AUUUAUAUAGUUUAAAUAAAACAUUGUUUUUUCAAUACAAAAAUUAAUUUUUAAUUAUGUAAAUA
rnacentral:tRNA from 1 species